GACAGAGGGUGCAAACGUUGUUCGGAAUUACUGGGCGUAAAGCGCACGUAGGCGGCUUUCUAAGUCGGGGGUGAAAUCCUGGAGCUCAACUCCAGAACUGCCUUCGAUACUGGAAAGCUCGAGUCCGGGAGAGGUGAGUGGAACUGCGAGUGUAGAGGUGAAAUUCGUAGAUAUUCGCAAGAACACCAGUGGCGAAGGCGGCUCACUGGCCCGGUACUGACGCUGAGGUGCGAAAGCGUGGGGAGCAAACAGG
rnacentral:rRNA from 1 species